ACGGAAGGCAGCAGUGGGGAAUAUUGGGCAAUGGGCGCAAGCCUGACCCAGCAACGCCGCGUGAAGGAAGAAGGCUUUCGGGUUGUAAACUUCUUUUACCAGGGACGAAGGACGUGACGGUACCUGGAGAAAAAGCAACGGCUAACUACGUGCCAGCAGCCGCGGUAAUACGUAGGUUGCAAGCGUUGUCCGGAUUUACUGGGUGUAAAGGGCGUGUAGGCGGAGCUGCAAGUCAGAUGUGAAAUCCCGGGGCUCAACCCCGGAACUGCAGUUGAAACUGUAGCCCUUGAGUAUCGGAGAGGCAAGCGGAAUUCCUAGUGUAGCGGUGAAAUGCGUAGAUAUUAGGAGGAACACCAGUGGCGAAGGCGGCUUGCUGGACUACAACUGACGCUGAGGCGCGAAGGCGUGGGGAUCAAACAGGAUUAGAUACCCUGGUA
rnacentral:rRNA from 1 species